rnacentral:rRNA from 1 species
AUGAACAACUUGAAGGUGGCUGAAACAAUAAUAAGCAGGGAGUACCCAAAUGGUAUGGAUGCAACACAGGUUGACCAAUUCAAGACUUCUUUUGUUUGCUUCAUACUGGGUUAUUUCUUAAUAGCUUGUAGCAAUGCAAAUCAUGGUGCCAAAGAUUUCUGGGGUUCACUACUCACACCAAAUGAAAUACCAUCAUACAACUUCUGCUCAGCAGCAAUUGAUGAAAUUAUGAAUGCAGCAAGAAAAGCUCAGAAUGAAUUGAAAACCAAAAAAUCUAUCAAAUAUGUUUCUAGCUGUCCGCUACUCUUGCAGGUAAAGUCAUUCAGGAACAGGAAACAAAAUGUUCGUAACGAAGCUGCUACUAAAUACAAUUUUGCAACUGUUACAAUGAAUAAACCUCCAUUUAUACCUUACCAAGGCACAAGCAAGCCUGCAGCAGUACAAACUACUAGUCAUGCAAAGCGCCCACUCAAUAUUUUCCUGGAUUCUUAUGUACAAGGAACAACACCAAAGAAGCUAUCCAUUCCUCAAAUAAUUGAUCUUAGAUGGCACAGUGCUAGGAUCAUAAGACAUAUGAAUGAGUUCAAAUCAAUUGCACAGCCAAUUUGUAAUAACCAAGCAUUGUCAACAUCAGCAACGGAUAAUUUAUCUGCCAAAAUAGACAAUCUUUUGGAAAUCAUUUUAAAUGAUAACCUUGAAUUAGCAAAGAGGCUUCAUGAGCAUGUCCCGGCAGUAGAAGUUCGAUCAGAAGGUCCACCAAAGUGCAUAAACAAUUUAAAGUGUUCUGGAAGUGAAUAUAGCGGAGCUGAUUCAAAUAGUGAUUGCACUUCCAAAAAAAUCGACUCAUCCAAAAGCAAAAUGUUUCAAAUUGCUGUUUCAGGAGAUAUGGAUGCAACAAGAACACCAACUAAUGCACUAGAAACACCAUGUUCUAAUACAUAUCGAGAUUUUGAGAAUGUACAAACACCAAGGAAUGAACUUUCACCAGCAACAGUUGCUAGUAGGAUGUCAGAAACAGCUGUUGCAUUCCGUUUGUUUCAGCGAGAAGAUAUCCUUAACUUAAAUGCAAGAGCACUUGAAGCAGAGUUCACGGACUCACCGAUUGAGAAAAUUAAAGUAAGCAACGGUCAAUUGGCAAGUAAUCAUGUGCUUGUCGGUACUACAAUGCUUCAAAAAUCAUCAGCCAUGCUAGCUACAUUCUCAAAUUGGGUACUACACAGCAAGCAAGAGGAAAAUGAAGUGUGCUGGAUAAUAAACUAUGAACCAAGAAGAUUGGUUCAACUAGAAAUGUUGAUUUAUGGCACAUCAAAGAAGCAAAGGUGUAGGCAUAUAAUGGAGUCCGACUUCGCUAUGAUGGUUCUAGGAAAUGAAAAUGUUAUGUCCAGCAGAUCUAUUCUUGAUCAGUUUAGGAAGAUUGCAGUAUUCUAUGAUAUAUCAGAGUGCAGAACCAUUAUAGUUCCUGCUCUAGUUAAUGUUACAUGGUGCUCGUAUUUCUUUGACAUGAUGCUAAAAUGUGUACAUGUUGCUGACCCAACGUAUGUACGAUCAAAUGAAAUUGAACUAAAGAAGAUGCAUGAUUCAAACGUCAAGAAAAUUCUAUGUGCAAUGACAAAAGUAGUGAAAGAGCUUUACUCUGGAUGGGAAGUUGAUUUCACCACAUGGGACACCAAUUACUUGAAGCCUAUAAUUCACGGUUUUUCUAAUACUGAAAUGUUCGACAACGACGACUCUGGUUUGGUGACGAUUAUAUCCAUUCGGGAUUUCCAUGGAGACACAAUUAUUGAAUCCCACACACAGGAAACAAUAAUGCCAUUCAAGCCUUUGUUGUUGUAUGAGUUGAUGUCCAUUAAAGGAAACCAUGGAACAGUUCCUACUUCCUACAUAGAAACAAUUGAUGAUUAG